CAAUAGCGUAUAUUAAAGUUGUUGCAGUUAAAAAGCUCGUAGUUGGAUUUCUGGUUGAAGCGACCGGUCGGGCGUUGAUUCGUCUGCACUGGAGUCGGUUUUGGCCAUCCCCUAGGAAAGUGCGUCUGGUAUUAAGUUAUCGGGCGUAUGAUCCUGGUCUUUUACUGUGAAAAAAUUAGAGUGUUUAAAGCAGGCCUUCGCCUUGAAUACAUUAGCAUGGAAUAAUAAGAUAGGACUUUGGUCUAUCUUGUUGGUUUGCAGACCGAAGUAAUGAUUAAUAGGGAUAGUUGGGGGUAUUUAUAUUCCGAUGUCAGAGGUGAAAUUCUUAGAUUUUCGGAAGAUAAACUUAUGCGAAAGCAUUUACCAAGGAUGUUUUCAUUAA
rnacentral:rRNA from 1 species